UUACUUAACUGGCGGGGGAGAGACCAUGAUCAUGAAGGCGGUUCUCCCAGGACGAGGCUAGCCCAUUGAGCGUCGGGCGUGCUGACGCCUGCAAUGUCCCCAAACACGGGAUACCCAACACACUGCGGAUGUGCACCCACUGUCGAGCACAGCACAG